GCCCUGUGGUUGCUGGACACUGGUUUGUGUGUACAGUGCUUCAGUUGGUAGCAACGGGCCGACAGUGAUGCUGUGAUUUACGCAUGGAGCCUGUGAUGCCUGAGCAGCUUCCAUAGCCCAGUCACAGUGACAGAC
rnacentral:snoRNA from 1 species